GCUUGGAUAGCUCAAGUUGGUAGAGCCUAAGACUCUUAAUCUCAAGGUCAUGAGCUUGAGCCCCAUGUUGGGCA